rnacentral:rRNA from 1 species
UACGGGGGGGGCAAGCAUUGUUCGGAAUUACUGGGCGUAAAGGGUUCGUAGGUGGCCAACUAAGUCAUACGUGAAAUCCCUCAGCUUAACUGGGGAACUGCGUCUGAUACUGGUUGGCUUGAGUGCAGGAGAGGAACGCGGAAUUCCAGGUGUAGCGGUGAAAUGCGUAGAUAUCUGGAGGAACACCGGUGGCGAAGGCGGCGUUCUGGACUGCAACUGACACUGAGGAACGAAAGCCAGGGGAGCAAACGGG